rnacentral:rRNA from 1 species
UACGUAGGGGGCAAGCGUUGUCCGGAAUCAUUGGGCGUAAAGCGCGUGUAGGCGGUUCGGUAAGUCUGCUGUGAAAGUCCAGGGCUCAACCCUGGGAUGCCGGUGGAUACUGUCGGACUAGAGUACGGAAGAGGCGAGUGGAAUUCCCGGUGUAGGCGGUGAAAUGCGCAGAUAUCGGGAGGAACACCAAUUGCGAAGGCAGCUCGCUGGGACGUCACUGACGCUGAGACGCGAAAGCGUGGGGAGCAAACGGG